rnacentral:tRNA from 1 species
GCCUGGGUGGCUCAGUUGGUUAAGCGUCUGACUUCAGCUCAGGUCAUGAUCUCACGAUUUGUGGGUUCAAGCCCCGCGUCGGGCU